rnacentral:rRNA from 1 species
UUGGGUUGUAAACCUCUUUUCUCAGGGAAGAACACAAUGACGGUACCUGAGGAAUCAGCAUCGGCUAACUCCGUGCCAGCAGCCGCGGUAAUACGGAGGAUGCAAGCGUUAUCCGGAAUGAUUGGGCGUAAAGCGUCCGCAGGUGGUGAUGUAAGUCUGCUGUCAAAGCGUCUAGCUCAACUAGAUACAGGCAGUGGAAAAUUACAUGACUAGAGUGCGUUCGGGGCAGAGGGAAUUCCUGGUGUAGCGGUGAAAUGCGUAGAUAUCAGGAAGAACACCGGUGGCGAAAGCGCUCUGC